CCUACGGGAGGCAGCAGUGGGGAAUAUUGCACAAUGGGGGAAACCCUGAUGCAGCGACGCCGCGUGAGUGAAGAAGUAAUUCGUUAUGUAAAGCUCUAUCAGCAGGGAAGAAAAUGACGGUACCUGAGUAAGAAGCCCCGGCUAACUACGUGCCAGCAGCCGCGGUAAUACGGAGGGGGCAAGCGUUAUCCGGAUUUACUGGGUGUAAAGGGAGCGUAGACGGGAGUGCAAGUCAGGAGUGAAAGGCUGGGGCUCAACCCCCGGAUUGCCUUGGAAACUGUACGGCUGGAGUGCAGGAGAGGUAAGUGGAAUUCGUGGUGUAGGGGUGAAAUGCGUAGAUAUUAAGAAGAACACCCAGGGCGAAGGCGGCUUACUAGACUGUAACUGACAUUGAGGCUCGAAAGCGUGGGGAGCAAACAGGAUUAGAUACCCCAGUAGUC
rnacentral:rRNA from 1 species